rnacentral:tRNA from 1 species
GGCCUCUUUGCUCAGUUGGCUAGAGCGUUGGCUGUACUAAAGUCUUCCCCUUAUUGGCAUGGGUUCAAAUCCCACAGAGGCCG